GGACUACCAGGGUUUCUAAUCCUGUUUGCUCCCCUAGCUUUCGUUCCUCAGCGUCAGUAGUGAUCCAGCGCGCCGCUUUCGCCACGGGUGUUCCUGCAGAUAUCUACGCAUUUCACCGCUACACCUGCAAUUCCACGCGCCUCUCUCACACUCGAGCACAGCAGUUUCGGGAGCAGCCUCUGGGUUGAGCCCAGAGAUUUCACUCCCGACUUGCCGCACCGCCUACGAACCCUUUACACCCAGUAAUUCCGAACAACGCUGGCCCCCUACGUCUUACCGCGGCUGCUGGCAC
rnacentral:rRNA from 1 species